GUGCUCGUACUUAUACUGUAGUUGGAACGAUACAGAGGAAAUUAGCAUGGCCCCUGCACAAGCAUGACAUGGAAAUUCAUGAAGCAUGCAAUAUUUUU
rnacentral:snRNA from 1 species